GGCAUAGUGAUAAACCAUUUGUUGGAGCUAACUAUUUACAUGAGUUGAUGAAACCAGAAUGAGUUCCAGCAUGAAGAUAGAAGGUUGAUAGCUCAUGUGUCAAGGAUUAACAAGCUAGAGUGAAGAUUGGAAGAUUCAAGAAACUAUAUUUCUCUAGCAAUGAUUAAGAUCAAACUUCAUCAUCAAGCAAAGAGGAUUUGAUGGCUUAAGGAUUAAGUAUCAACAAGGAUAUGCUUGUGGAUUGAUGACAAAUUGGAU
rnacentral:lncRNA from 1 species